rnacentral:misc_RNA from 1 species
GAUGAAGAACGCAGUGAAAUGCGAUAAGUAAUGUGAAUUGCAGAAUUCAGUGAAUCAUCGAAUCUUUGAACGCACAUUGCGCCCGCCAGUAUUCUGGCGGGCAUGCCUGUUCGAGCGUCAUUUCAACCAUCAAGCCCCAGGCUUGUGUUGGGGACCUGCGGCUGCCGCAGGCCCUGAAAACCAGUGGCGGGCUCGCUAGUCACACCGAGCGUAGUAGCAUACACAUCGCUCAGGGCGUGCUGCGGGUUCCGGCCGUUAAACCCCUUUUUUACCCAAGGUUGACCUCGGAUCAGGUAGGAUGACCCGCUGAACUUAAGCAUAUCAAUAAGCGGAGGA